rnacentral:rRNA from 1 species
UUAAGCGACUAAGCGUACACGGUGGAUGCCCUGGCAGUCAGAGGCGAUGAAGGACGUGCUAAUCUGCGAUAAGCGUCGGUAAGGUGAUAUGAACCGUUAUAACCGGCGAUUUCCGAAUGGGGAAACCCAGUGUGUUUCGACACACUAUCAUUAACUGAAUCCAUAGGUUAAUGAGGCGAACCGGGGGAACUGAAACAUCUAAGUACCCCGAGGAAAAGAAAUCAACCGAGAUUCCCCCAGUAGCGGCGAGCGAACGGGGAGCAGCCCAGAGCCUGAAUCAGUGUGUGUGUUAGUGGAAGCGUCUGGAAAGGCGCGCGAUACAGGGUGACAGCCCCGUACACAAAAAUGCACAUACUGUGAGCUCGAUGAGUAGGGCGGGACACGUGGUAUCCUGUCUGAAUAUGGGGGGACCAUCCUCCAAGGCUAAAUACUCCUGACUGACCGAUAGUGAACCAGUACCGUGAGGGAAAGGCGAAAAGAACCCCGGCGAGGGGAGUGAAAAAGAACCUGAAACCGUGUACGUACAAGCAGUGGGAGCACGCUUCGGCGUGUGACUGCGUACCUUUUGUAUAAUGGGUCAGCGACUUAUAUUCUGUAGCAAGGUUAACCGAAUAGGGGAGCCGAAGGGAAACCGAGUCUUAACUGGGCGUUAAGUUGCAGGGUAUAGACCCGAAACCCGGUGAUCUAGCCAUGGGCAGGUUGAAGGUUGGGUAACACUAACUGGAGGACCGAACCGACUAAUGUUGAAAAAUUAGCGGAUGACUUGUGGCUGGGGGUGAAAGGCCAAUCAAACCGGGAGAUAGCUGGUUCUCCCCGAAAGCUAUUUAGGUAGCGCCUCGUGAACUCAUCUUCGGGGGUAGAGCACUGUUUCGGCAAGGGGGUCAUCCCGACUUACCAACCCGAUGCAAACUGCGAAUACCGGAGAAUGUUAUCACGGGAGACACACGGCGGGUGCUAACGUCCGUCGUGAAGAGGGAAACAACCCAGACCGCCAGCUAAGGUCCCAAAGUCAUGGUUAAGUGGGAAACGAUGUGGGAAGGCCCAGACAGCCAGGAUGUUGGCUUAGAAGCAGCCAUCAUUUAAAGAAAGCGUAAUAGCUCACUGGUCGAGUCGGCCUGCGCGGAAGAUGUAACGGGGCUAAACCAUGCACCGAAGCUGCGGCAGCGACACUAUGUGUUGUUGGGUAGGGGAGCGUUCUGUAAGCCUGUGAAGGUGUGCUGUGAGGCAUGCUGGAGGUAUCAGAAGUGCGAAUGCUGACAUAAGUAACGAUAAAGCGGGUGAAAAGCCCGCUCGCCGGAAGACCAAGGGUUCCUGUCCAACGUUAAUCGGGGCAGGGUGAGUCGACCCCUAAGGCGAGGCCGAAAGGCGUAGUCGAUGGGAAACAGGUUAAUAUUCCUGUACUUGGUGUUACUGCGAAGGGGGGACGGAGAAGGCUAUGUUGGCCGGGCGACGGUUGUCCCGGUUUAAGCGUGUAGGCUGGUUUUCCAGGCAAAUCCGGAAAAUCAAGGCUGAGGCGUGAUGACGAGGCACUACGGUGCUGAAGCAACAAAUGCCCUGCUUCCAGGAAAAGCCUCUAAGCAUCAGGUAACAUUAAAUCGUACCCCAAACCGACACAGGUGGUCAGGUAGAGAAUACCAAGGCGCUUGAGAGAACUCGGGUGAAGGAACUAGGCAAAAUGGUGCCGUAACUUCGGGAGAAGGCACGCUGAUAUGUAGGUGAAGUCCCUCGCGGAUGGAGCUGAAAUCAGUCGAAGAUACCAGCUGGCUGCAACUGUUUAUUAAAAACACAGCACUGUGCAAACACGAAAGUGGACGUAUACGGUGUGACGCCUGCCCGGUGCCGGAAGGUUAAUUGAUGGGGUUAGCGGUAACGCGAAGCUCUUGAUCGAAGCCCCGGUAAACGGCGGCCGUAACUAUAACGGUCCUAAGGUAGCGAAAUUCCUUGUCGGGUAAGUUCCGACCUGCACGAAUGGCGUAAUGAUGGCCAGGCUGUCUCCACCCGAGACUCAGUGAAAUUGAACUCGCUGUGAAGAUGCAGUGUACCCGCGGCAAGACGGAAAGACCCCGUGAACCUUUACUAUAGCUUGACACUGAACAUUGAGCCUUGAUGUGUAGGAUAGGUGGGAGGCUUUGAAGUGUGGACGCCAGUCUGCAUGGAGCCGACCUUGAAAUACCACCCUUUAAUGUUUGAUGUUCUAACGUUGACCCGUAAUCCGGGUUGCGGACAGUGUCUGGUGGGUAGUUUGACUGGGGCGGUCUCCUCCUAAAGAGUAACGGAGGAGCACGAAGGUUGGCUAAUCCUGGUCGGACAUCAGGAGGUUAGUGCAAUGGCAUAAGCCAGCUUGACUGCGAGCGUGACGGCGCGAGCAGGUGCGAAAGCAGGUCAUAGUGAUCCGGUGGUUCUGAAUGGAAGGGCCAUCGCUCAACGGAUAAAAGGUACUCCGGGGAUAACAGGCUGAUACCGCCCAAGAGUUCAUAUCGACGGCGGUGUUUGGCACCUCGAUGUCGGCUCAUCACAUCCUGGGGCUGAAGUAGGUCCCAAGGGUAUGGCUGUUCGCCAUUUAAAGUGGUACGCGAGCUGGGUUUAGAACGUCGUGAGACAGUUCGGUCCCUAUCUGCCGUGGGCGCUGGAGAACUGAGGGGGGCUGCUCCUAGUACGAGAGGACCGGAGUGGACGCAUCACUGGUGUUCGGGUUGUCAUGCCAAUGGCACUGCCCGGUAGCUAAAUGCGGAAGAGAUAAGUGCUGAAAGCAUCUAAGCACGAAACUUGCCCCGAGAUGAGUUCUCCCUGA